rnacentral:rRNA from 1 species
GAAUAUUGGUCAAUGGGCGCAGGCCUGAACCAGCCAAGUAGCGUGAAGGAUGACUGCCCUAUGGGUUGUAAACUUCUUUUAUAAGGGAAUAAAGUCACCCACGUGUGGGUGUUUGUAUGUACCUUAUGAAUAAGCAUCGGCUAACUCCGUGCCAGCAGCCGCGGUAAUACGGAGGAUGCGAGCGUUAUCCGGAUUUAUUGGGUUUAAAGGGAGCGUAGACGGGCCGUUAAGUCAGCUGUGAAAGUUUGAGGCUCAACCUUAAAAUUGCAGUUGAUACUGGCGUCCUUGAGUACGGUUGAGGCAGGCGGAAUUCGUGGUGUAGCGGUGAAAUGCUUAGAUAUCACGAAGAACCCCGAUUGCGAAGGCAGCCUGCUAAACCGCCACUGACGUUGAGGCUCGAAAGUGUGGGUAUCAAACAGGAUUAGAUACCCUGGUAGUCCACACGGUAAACGAUGGAUACUCGCUGUUGGCGAUAGACUGUCAGCGGCUUAGCGAAAGCGUUAAGUAUCCCACCUGGGGAGUACGCCGGCAACGGUGAAACUCAAAGGAAUUGACGGGGGCCCGCACAAGCGGAGGAACAUGUGGUUUAAUUCGAUGAUACGCGAGGAACCUUACCCGGGCUUGAAUUGCAGACGAAUUGCUUGGAAACAGGCAAGCCGCAAGGCGUCUGUGAAGGUGCUGCAUGGUUGUCGUCAGCUCGUGCCGUGAGGUGUCGGCUUAAGUGCCAUAACGAGCGCAACCCUCGUGUCCAGUUACUAGCAGGCAAGCUGAGGACUCUGGACAGACUGCCAUCGUAAGAUGUGAGGAAGGUGGGGAUGACGUCAAAUCAGCACGGCCCUUACGUCCGGGGCUACACACGUGUUACAAUGGGGGGUACAGCAGGCAGCUACCGGGCGACCGGAUGCCAAUCCCGAAAGCCUCUCUCAGUUCGGACUGGAGUCUGCAACCCGACUCCACGAAGCUGGAUUCGCUAGUAAUCGCGCAUCAGCCACGGCGCGGUGAAUACGUUCCCG